rnacentral:rRNA from 1 species
AAUCUUCCGCAAUGGGCGAAAGCCUGACGGAGCAACGCCGCGUGAGUGAUGAAGGGUUUCGGCUCGGAAAACUUUGUUAUUAGGGAAGAACAAAUGUGUAAGUAACUGUGCACAUCUUGACGGUAUCUAAUCAGAAAGCCACGUCUAACUACGUGCCAGGAGCCGCGGUAAUACGGAGGUGGCAAGCGUUAACCGGAAUUAUUGGGCGUAAAGCGAGCGUAGGCGGUUUCUUAAGUCAGAUGUGAAAGCCCACGGCUCAACCGUGGAGGGUCAUUGGAAACUGGGAAACUUGAGUGCAGAAGAGGAAAGUGGAAUUCCAUGUGUAGCGGUGAAAUGCGCAGAGAUAUGGAGGAACACCAGUGGCGAAGGCGACUUUCUGGUCUGUAACUGACGCUGAUGUGCGAAAGCGUGGGGAUCAAACA